UCAGUUUCCUAUCAACUUCAUGGAGGUCUCCAGCUUUUUGCAACCAUUUCCUCCACAGCCUCUCUUCGGGAAUUAAAAGAAUCAGCAAGAGAAAGGAGAAAAGAAAAGUGUAUUUGGAACUGCGUAGUGAAGAUUUUAUUAAACCUAUGUGUGAGAUCAGAAAAAACGCCGACACUCAAUAUGCUCAACAGGCGCUACCCACUGGGAGAACGGGCUGGAAGCAAGUUGCGUGUAUCCUCGGAAGGCAACUACGGCGUCUCUCCUCAAUCUCCCUGCAACACUAUCCAGGGGUGUUGGGAGGGGGGGACAAAAAGGGAGGAUUCCAGUGCGCUUCGCCGGCGGGAAGAGGACGCAAGGGAGGAGUUUCCACAGAGCGCCCCACAGCUUGCUUGGCGAAGGGCUCUGUCUCUUCCCCGCCCCACUGCUCCCGCCUUUCACUCGGGCGAGCCUUGGAGCAGCGGAGACCCAACUUUUCAGCCGCCGAGGAUCAUGACGGGGACUUCAGUAUGCUUGGCAGUUCUGCUGGCUGUGGGCUCGCGCUUCAGCCUCGCGUACCAAGGAUCAGGAUAUUCACCAAUAGAUGAUGAUGAAGAUGUGUAUGCACGCAAUAGAUAUAAAGAUAUACCAUGGUGCUCACCUAUCAAGGUAAAAUAUGGUUAUGCAAAUUGCAGAAGUCCCCAGGAAGGGUAUUACAGAAAUGUCUUGGGGACCACAUGUGACAUUCAUUGUCAGAAAGGUUAUGGACUGAAUGGUCCUGAGCAUCUUAUUUGCCAGUCAAACAAACGUUGGUCUGGGAAAGUUCUCUGCAAACAAAAACGGUGCCCAACACUUUCUAUGCCACCUAAUGGAGGAUUCAAGUGUGUUGAUGGUGCAUACUUUAAUUCCAGGUGUGAGUAUUAUUGCUCACCAGGAUAUCAGUUAAAAGGAGAUAGAGUAGUACAAUGUAUGGAUAAUAAAGCGUGGAGCGGAAGACCAGCUUCUUGUGUUGAUAUGGAACCUCCAAGAAUUCAGUGUCCAAGUGUAAAGGAGAAAAUAGCAGAACCCAAUAAAUUAACAUCCAGGGUAUUCUGGGAUACUCCAGAGGGACGAGAUACUGCUGAUGGCAUUUUGACAGAUGUUAUCUUGAAAGGACUUCCACCAGGAUCAUAUUUUUCAGAAGGAAAUCACAAAAUCCAAUAUACUGUGUAUGACAGAGCUGGGAAUAAGGGAGCUUGCAAAUUUUUGGUCAAAGUCAGAGUUAGGCGCUGUGGAAAAUCGAAUGCCCCAGACAAUGGCUACAUAAAAUGUUCUGGUGAUGGAGAUAAUUAUGGUGCAACUUGUGACUUUUCCUGCAUUGGUGGGUAUGAGUUGCAGGGAAGUCCAGCAAGAGUUUGCCAGUAUAAUUUAGGCUGGUCAGGAACAGAGCCAACCUGUACACCUAUGAAUAUUAAUAUUGGUGUGAGGACAGCAGCAGCUCUUCUAGAUCAGUUUUAUGAAAAACGAAGAUUGCUUAUUAUAUCUACUCCUACUGCAUCCAAUUACUUUUACAGAAUGCAGCUGGGAAUAUUGCAGCCAGCACAAUGUGGUUUAGAUCUCCGGCAUGUUACAGUGAUUGAAUUGGUUGGGGUUUAUCCAGCACAACUGGGAAGAAUAGGAUUAAGACUGAUGCCCCCUGCCUUGGCUGUACAACUCAGAAACAGAUGAUCUUGAGAGGCCCUUGAAUGACCAUGAACAUGAACAGGAGCAGUGAUCAGGAGUGCAAGGGUACUUUUGAAUGACGGCCGACUGUGGCGUAGACACGUGGACCAACUAAGGAAGCGACUGACAACGUCCCCAAACAUUCUGGACAAGGAGGCCUUUCGGAUGGCUCCUGCCUGUUCCCGCAGCAAAUCUGCCACCGCCCACACCGGAAACUCAAGUGUCAAAAUGGGACUUACCGGUUGUCGCCACACCCACCAACGAGCAGGAGGAGCUACCAACAGCAUCAUCCCCGGAAGCAGACCCAGCCGACAUCGUACCGGCACCUGCGCUAAGACGUUCGACCCGAGUGCGCAAACGCCCAGAAUAUCUAAAGGACUAUGUAUGUUAUAGCCGGGGAUGAAGGAGUGUUGUGAUUCGUGGAGGCCCUGGCAACAGGGACGCUGCCGGUGGAUUGGCUAGAGGGGAGUGGCUAAUGCGAGCGGGAGAUUGUCUGAGCUCCUAUUGGUUAAGCACGUUGGACAGCUCUGAGUAUAAAAGAGCUGUCAGUUCCAGAAAGCUCUCUGUUCCGUUCCUAUAGUUGCUGUUGUGAUAAAUAAACCGUUCUUGUUCAUGCUA